CAGCAGCCGCGGUAAUACGUAGGUGGCAAGCGUUGUCCGGAAUUAUUGGGCGUAAAGGGCUCGCAGGCGGUUUCUUAAGUCUGAUGUGAAAGCCCCCGGCUCAACCGAGGAGGGUCAUUGGAAACUGGGAAACUUGAGUGCAGAAGAGGAGAGUGGAAUUCCACGUGUAGCGGUGAAAUGCGUAGAGAUGUGGAGGAGCACCAGUGGCGAAGGCGACUCUCUGGUCUGUAACUGACGCUGAGGAGCGAAAGCGUGGGGAGCGAACAGGAUUAGAUACCCCUGUAGUCCCUGUCUCUUAUAC
rnacentral:rRNA from 1 species